rfam:Ixodes scapularis strain Wikel colony gcontig_1108378779024, whole genome shotgun sequence.
GGUGGAGUGGUGUAGUGGUUAGCAAACCCGACCGGACAUUGGGAAGCCCAGAGUUCAAAUCCUGGCUCCGCCG